rnacentral:lncRNA from 1 species
AACAAUUCAAACGAGAAAACUAGCAGCCUUAUUUAUGUACAAAAAAUGAAAGAAAAACAAGUAUGUAACACAUAAACAAACGACAACCACUGAAUUACAGGCUCCUUACUUAAAUUGUCAUAAUAUAUACUAAAUGUAUGUUCAUAUUGAAAUUGAUAGAAAACCAAAAAUUCGGAAUUUUGGAAAUAAAGGAGGAGGGAUAAAAAAAAACAUUUUCCUGUCCCCAAUAAUCUAUAUCUUAUGAUACUUUUGCUGAAAUUCUCCAUUCAUUCAAUAUUUUACAAAAUUCUUCCAACA